CCUACGGGCGGCAGCAGUGGGGAAUAUUGGGCAAUGGGCGCAAGCCUGACCCAGCAACGCCGCGUGAAGGAAGAAUGCUCUCGGGUUGUAAACUUCUUUUGUCAGGGAAGAGUAGAAGACGGUACCUGACGAAUAAGCCACGGCUAACUACGUGCCAGCAGCCGCGGUAAUACGUAGGUGGCAAGCGUUGUCCGGAUUUACUGGGUUUAAAGGGCGUGUAGCCGGGUUGACAAGUCAGAUGUGAAAUCCUGCGGCUUAACCGGAGAACUGCAUUUGAAACUGUUGGUCUUGAGUACUGGAGAGGCAGAUGGAAUUCCUAGUGUAGCGGUGAAAUGCGUAGAUAUUAGGAAGAACACCAAUGGCGAAGGCAGUCUGCUAGACAGCAACUGACGGUGAGGCGCGAAAGCGUGGGGAGCAAACAGGAUUAGAUACCCGUGUAGUC
rnacentral:rRNA from 1 species